CCCAGGUACCUCGCAGCCGUAGAGCUGACCCAGCUGCUCCACGAUCCAUUCCUCCAGCACCAGCCGCUUCCGAAGCUCCUUACGAUCGUAUUUCACUGUCACUUUUCCCUGCUGGUGUCGCCGCUGCUGUUGCUGCUGAACCUGCCCUGCAGCGGCCGCCGUGGCCACGGGCGCCGAGUCCUCCCGGGAGGAGCCUGAGCCGCUGCUGGAGCCGGGGCUGCCACCGGCGCCACCCCGGGGGCUUUGGAAGAGCCACCGACAUGUCCCCGCGCGCCCGAGCCUCAGUGCGGCCCGGAGGAGGGGCGGGCGGAGCGCGCCCGGCGCCGCUACCA
rnacentral:lncRNA from 10 species